rnacentral:rRNA from 1 species
UGGGGGAUAUUGCACAAUGGGCGAAAGCCUGAUGCAGCGACGCCGCGUGGGGGAUGAAGGCUUUCGGGUUGUAAACCUCUUUCGCUAUCGAACAAGGCCCGCUUAGGGUGGGUUGAGGGUAGGUGGAGAAGAAGCGCCGGCUAACUACGUGCCAGCAGCCGCGGUAAUACGUAGGGCGCGAGCGUUGUCCGGAAUUAUUGGGCGUAAAGGGCUUGUAGGCGGCUUGUUGCGCCUGCUGUGAAAACGCGGGGCUUAACUUCGCGCGUGCAGUGGGUACGGGCAGGCUUGAGUGUGGUAGGGGUGACUGGAAUUCCAGGUGUAGCGGUGGAAUGCGAGAUAUCUGGAGGAACACCGAUGGCGAAGGCAGGUCACUGGGCCAUUACUGACGCUGAGGAGCGAAAGCAUGGGUAGCGAACAGG